GUCUAUCUCUCUCGCCCGAUCUACUCUCUUUCUCUCUCUCCCCCCAACCAGUUUGAACGUGCAGAUCGGCGAUCUACGCUCUUUCACUCUCUUGUUUCUUUCUUUUCAUGUCUCUCCCCCCGAACGAAGAUCAGCUGAAGCUUUUGAGAAAACAGGACCCAACUGAGGGUAGCAGAACCGGAGCGAAGCUCUGUGAACAAACAACAACCAAACUGGUGAAUAACUCCAUCAACGUGCAGAUCGGCAAGACCCGGAAGUUUAAACACCGUGAACUCCGGCGAGCUUCAGUUCAGUACAGAGAUCUCCGGCGAGCUCUCUUACUCCCUCUACCAGACCAGGAAGCAAAUCGAACACUACCGACGCGCCGAACCAACUGAAGCUAGCAGAACCGGCGUGAAGCUCUGUGAGCAAACAACAACCAAACUGGUGAAUAACUCCAUCAACGUGCAGAUCGGCGAGACCCAGAAGUUUAAACACCAUGAACUCCGGCGAGCUUCAGUUCAGUACAGAGAUCUCCGGCGAGCUCUCUUACUCUCUCUACCAGACCAGGAAGCAAAUCGAACACUACCACCGCGCCGAACCAACUGAAGCUAGCAGAACCAGCGUUACCAAACUGAACGGUGAAGAAGUGAAGACCGGCGAGACCCAGAAGUUUAAACACCAUGAACUCCGGCGAUUCAGUUCAGUACAGAGAUAAACCAAUCGCCGUGAACAGUUCCGGCGAGCCCAUUAACAAAUCCAGAAGUGCGCGCGCUCCUGUUUAGGCAAACUUCAGUUUCGGUGAGUCAAUCCGGCGAGACGAGAAGUUCCGGUGAGCUCCAGCGAAGCCUCAACCUUCUCGACCCAACUGCAGCAAUGUUUUCCGGCGUGUUUCAGCGAUGACCGACGCGAGCUACAACAAACAACGUCGACCAAACUUCAGAGACAAGUUUAAGUCCGGCACCUAGAGUUCUCUAACUCCGGCGAGGCUCAAUCCACUCCGGCGAGUUUCAGUGAGUUGCCGGUGCGAACUUCAGGCGUAGCUUCAGUUCGUAGCACCUCUGUUACGGUGACCAGGCUGUUUCGGCGAGCUUCAAUCACUCCCAACUGCUCAGGCGAGUUUCAGUGUGUUACCGGUCCAAACUUACAGAUCCAAAGUGAAAACCCAUAUCAGGUCAGAUUCCGCAUAGAACCGGGUUUGGUAUUGGAGAGGAAAUUGCCGGUGCUUGUACCUUUGUUUUUGUGGACUGAUCACCUAUUCAGUGACGGUUGUAAUGCACACACCAAAUAUUAUAUCGAACAGGACCUCAACCCCCCCUUGGGCAUCUAUGUGAAAUUUGUGUUUGUUCCAUAGCCAGAUCUGAAUUUGAGAAAAAGGAAUCGAAAUCCAAGGGAUGAAGUUGAACCCGGCCAGCGAUAAAUUCUACGAAGCACAACUGAAAUUUCCUAAUAUCUAUGCAAAUUUGCAUGCUGAGGCGUCUAAAAUCACGUGUUUCCGAAUAUCAUUUGUAUUCCGAGAGAGGAAAACCGCUGCCGAUUUUUGCGCUAACGCGGCUUUAAGGGAGCUCCGGUGUCCCAAAGAUUAUGUAGAGACUCUUGUCCUGAAAGAUCACACUGUGAAAAAUUUCAGGUUUUAUCGGAAAGUUCUUGCUAUAGAAGAGGUUGGCGGAAGAAAGUGGUCACCGCAGGUGGAGUGGUUGUUUCUUGACCUUCCAGAUUCCCACAAGGAAGGACUUUUGGUGGUUGUGAAAAUUCUGUUCCAUGGAAUGUCAUCUGAUACUAUUGAUACUUUAGGUGGUUUAUUAAUAUAUGUGGUUAUCAUACUUUUGAACAUGGUAUAUCUCGGUGGUUUAUUAUAUAGGUGAAUAUAUCUCUGUUUGGAUGUCA